GACGAACGCUGGCGGCGUGCUUAACACAUGCAAGUCGAACGGAAAGGCCCUUCGGGGUACUCGAGUGGCGAACGGGUGAGUAACACGUGGGUGAUCUGCCUCGUACUCUGGGAUAAGCCUGGGAAACUGGGUCUAAUACCGGAUAGGACCUUCUCUCGCAUGGGGGUUGGUGGAAAGUUUUUCGGUACGAGAUGGGCCCGCGGCCUAUCAGCUUGUUGGUGGGGUAAUGGCCUACCAAGGCGACGACGGGUAGCCGGCCUGAGAGGGCGACCGGCCACACUGGGACUGAGACACGGCCCAGACUCCUACGGGAGGCAGCAGUGGGGAAUAUUGCACAAUGGGCGCAAGCCUGAUGCAGCGACGCCGCGUGAGGGAUGACGGGCCUUUCGGGUUGUAAACCCUCUUUUCAACCAAGGGGCGAAAUAAGGAACGGUACCCGGAGAA
rnacentral:rRNA from 1 species